rnacentral:lncRNA from 1 species
UGAUGGCUAGCUACUCUAUUUAUAUGUUAUAUUCGACUUAAAAUCUAAGCAAUUACAUCACUAGAAUGUUCCACAAGCAAAGGGCUUUGUGGUAAAACCAAAUAGAGUAGCUUAAAAUCUAAGCAAAAGCAACAAAAGGCUGUCUGGGAGGUGGCACGGCCGUGGCAACCUUCUGUCUUGAGGGAUUGUCAUAAUAAAACAAUAAAAACAAGCUGCUUAUUCAUGCCUUUCACAAUAAAACAAAACAAAAGAAUAAAGCUCAAGGGAUUUUGGAAACACUACGACACACGACACUUUAUUAGGCUCCCCUCACACUUAGGAGAAGCAUUGUCCUCAAUGAUUUAAAGUAAGAAAAAUGAAAGAGAAGAAGAAGAAACAAGAAAAAGAAUGAGAAAGGAUGCGGAAAGCUCACAAUUUGCCAAAAGAAGUAAAAAAUUUAACCCUGGAGGCCUAUCAGGUUGGCACGGCCGUGCCAACUUAAGCAUGGGUCGUGCCAACUCCCUGCCAUUUCCUUGAAUUUGUGUGCUGGAAGCAGGCACGGCCGUUCCAACUUAAGCACGGGCCGUGCCACCUUUCUGGCUGUUGUAUCUUCAAUCUUUCUUGCAUUUUCUCAUCAUACUUGUACAUUUACCUACAAAACAAAGGGAAAUUAGAAGAAACAAAGAAAGCAAUUAAAUCCGUGGGUUGCCUCCCACGAAGAGCUCUUUUAUUGUCACUAGCUUGACAAAACGAGGAUGUGUGUCCUCAAAGAGGGUCACUUAGAGUAAAAUCAGCCACCUCUUCAUUUACCUCUCCAUUGUUAUAGAUUUUUAGCCUUUGCCCGUUAACCGUAAAUGAUCCGGUAUCCUCAGAAAAAAUCUCAAUAAUUCUAGCAAGUUCAAGAGUCUUUAAUGGGAAUCAAA